GUUUCUGAGAUGCUGGAAUCACCAUGUGUGGCAUCAACAAUCAUACCACGGUCAAAGUUGCUUAGAUUACGCAUCUUGCCCGUUCUGAUGUUUGGUCGCACAACAACUAAAGCUCUCUACUCUAUAUACCCUAUAUAUUGAGUUACAGGCAGCCACAUGAUUCUCUGUUCGAAGGAGCAGGCUAUUUGCGUUAACACGUAGGUGUACCUAAUAAAGUGGCCAGUGAGUGUAUGUAUGCAGGCCCUUAUAAUUGCUUUUCCAAUACUGCCAGCUCGUUACUGAUGAUUGAUUUCACAGUGUGGUACAUAGUGAGUACAUAGUGAAAUGAGUGGUAUCCACCUACAACAACAUAGCGAUAACAUGGAGCCGGCAGGUGAUCCAGUCACAAGAGAGGUCAAGCAGUGGGAGGAGGAAGACGAGGAAGACGUGGUGGUCAAAGGAAUGGCAGGGGACAAGCACCCCUUCUGAGAGGUGGUCUAUGGGCCUCGUUUGAGAGGUGUGGGGGAACGUGGUAGAGGACAAGGCCACGGACCGAGACAGCGGCAGCAACAGCAAAGAGUGUCCAAUGAAAUACGAGCAAUAGUUGUAGGCCAUGUCGUAAAUCAUGGCAUGACAAUGACUGAGGCAGCUACAAUGAUUCAACCAAACCUCAGAAGAUCAACAGUAGCCUCAAUCAUCAGAACUUUCCGCAAUGAGAACCGGUAAGUCUUCAGCAUGCACUAAACAUUAGGCUAUUCUCAAUUAUCAAAUGACUGUAUACUGCAUGCCAAUGUGCACCACUGAGUAGGUGAUGUGACUAAAUGUGUUCUUACUGUAAUUUUCCCUGCAGAAUUGAGACUAGGCCAAAUAGGGGAGACAGAGGCAAAAUUCUGACUGACCAACAAGAGCGGGCUGUGGUCAAUUUGGUUCGGGCCAGAAAUGAUAUUCGCCUUACAGAAAUUUGGCAGCACAUCUUGGACAAUGACGACAUGUUCAACAAUGUGGAAGCCAUAAGUUUGCCGACUAUUGCACGCAUGCUGAAAAGGCACCAGGUGUCUCUAAAACAGCUAUACCAAUGUGCCUUUUGAAAGAAAUUCAAACAGAGUGAAGCAACUGAGGACUGAGUAUGUUCAGAGGGUGAUGGAGCUGGAUGCUGACGAAAACCAUCAGAAAUUCCUCUUUUUGGAUGAGGCAGGCUUCAACCUGGCCAAGACAAGGAGGAGAGGUCGGAAUUUCAUUGGCCAGCGGGCAACCAUCCAAGUGUGCGGCUAUAUUGGAAGAUGGUGUGGUGGGACACAGACCUCGUAUUGGAUUAAAUAAUGCAGUUCUCCUUGUAACCUUCCUUGAUGAGCUAAAUCAGGUCUGCAGAGCUGAUGGUGUGACCUAUGUCAUUGUGUGGGAUAAUGUCAGAUUCCACCAUGAUCAAAUGGUGCAAGCAUGGUUUCAGGCCCAUCCACAAUUUACCACCCUGUACUUACCCUCAUACUCUCCUUUCCUUAAACCGAUUGAGGAAUUUUUCUCCACAUGGAGGUGGAAGGUAUAUGAUAGGCGCCCUCACAAACAAGCCACCCUUCUCCAGGCCAUGGAUGACGCAUGCCAUGACAUCACGGCAGACCAGUGUCAGGCCUGGAUUCACCAUGCCUGAAGAUUCUUCCCAAGAUGUUUGGCUAAUGAAAACAUCCAUUGUGAUGUGGAUGAGAACGUGUGGCCAAAUUGACAAGACAGGGUUGAUGGGAAUAUAGAAGUACAGUAAUCAAUCCUUUGUUUUGCUUUUUACAGUAAGCCAGGUGAGGAACACUGCAGUUGACAUUUUACUGUAUUUUUUCUUCUUUUUUGUAGCUAAUUAUUUUUGCUUUGAUUCAAAGAAACCUAUGUUGUGAUUUUAUUGUAUUUCAUCAAUACAUUUCAGAUUUUGUUCAAUGAAACAUGUAUCACAUAUUUUGUACUACAAUAUUUAAUGAUUGUACGAACAACUACAUAGUGAAACUAUCGGUAUCUUGUGUGUGGGUGAUCUAAAUAAAUGUUCCUAUGGUUUUUCAUGAUAAAUGAGUUAUUUGAACCA